UCACGCGCCUCCGCCGGAGCGCAGAAGAGCCAAUCAGGCGCUCGGCGUAUUUUACAAACUGGGGAAGUAGCUGCAGCUGAAGCCAGUCAAGAAAAAGCGAAUGAAGUGGGAGUGAGCCCGAGUGGUUCCGAGGAAGUUGUAGCAGUCAUGACCACCCUCCAAGCCGCGAAGGAUCCUGUCCUCAGGGGUGUAUCUCCUACCCCUAGCAAGAUUCCCGUACGCUCUCAGAGACGCCCGCCUCUCCCCACAGUCAAACCCUGCGCCCUGGACCAGGAGAACCAAGAUCCAAAGAGAUUGGUGCAGAAGCUCAGCCUCGACUCAGCAGGCCCCGGGCCAAAAGUCACACAUCAAACAGAGAAAUCAGAGAGAUCAGUGGGGAGCACUCAGCUCCGGAACCCCUUGGAGGAACUGAGGCCUAGCCCUGGGGGACAAAAUGUGGGGCCUACGUGCCCUCCCCAGACAGAGGCUCCAGGGACCAUAGAGUUUGUGGCUGACCCUGCAGCCCUGGCCACCAUCCUGUCAGGUGAGGGGGUGAAGAGCUGUCGCCUAGGGCGCCAGCCCAGUCUGGCUCAGAGAGUGCUGAUUCGAGGGAGCCAGGGAGGCACCAUCCGUAGGGGCCAGGGUGCCCGGGCCUCUGCAUAUUUAGCCCCUAGAACCCCUGCCCACCGACUGGACCCUGCCAGGGCUUCCUGCUUCUCGAGGCUGGAGGGACCAGGACCCCGAGGCCGGACCUUGUGUUCUCAGAGGCUAGAGGCUCUGAUUCAACCUACAGGACCUUCCUUUCACCCCUCUGCUCACCCCAGUUUCCAGGAGCUAAGAAGAGUGACAGGUGGCAGCAGCCGGACUUCAGUAAGCCAGACCUCAGGAUUGCUCCUGGAGACCCCAGUCCAGUCCGCUCCCUCUCUCCCUGAAGGAGAACAUGAGGUUUCUACUCGCUCGGAUGAAGGAGGAGGGGGCCCCCUAGGUCUGGCCCAGCGGGUACCAUUAAGAGAGAUAACCCACACCAGGGGCAGCAACGCCUCCCACCCGAUACCCUCCCCUGGCCGUGUGGUGCCACCUUCCAUCACCCAUCCAUCACCCUUUGGACGGGCUCAGCGUGUACCGUCUCCUAGCCCCUCAGCUCCGGCCUCGUAUUCCGUCUUGCGACGUCUUGCCAUGCGUCCCAAAACCCAGUUCACACCCAUCCUAUCGGCCCCCAGAGUUCAGCAGGCCCAGGGUGUGAGGAGCCUCUCCCCUCAGUCGUGCCCUGAAGAGCCUGCCCUGCCCUGGGAGCAGAUUGCAGUCCGAUUAUUUGACCAGGAGAGUUGUAUACGGGUGCAGGACGGGCCGGGGAAAGCCCCUGUGGCAACUCCCCACCCCGGUACAACCCCCAGGCUCCAGGAGCUGAAGAUGCAGCGCAUCAAUAUCCUGCAGCAGCUGUUGCGAGAGGAAGUAGAAGGGCUCACUGGGGACAAGUGUGCCCCCCUUAAUGGAGGCUCCUCUCUGGAUAUGGCUGAACUUCAGCCCCUGCUGGCUGAGAUUUCUGGAACCCCGAGUGCCCCAGAGCAGAAUUCAGGGGCCUUACACCUUCCCAGACUGUCACAGUGCUCGGAGCUACCAGAGCCCUGCCUUCCAGCGGAGGGUGGGGAAGCACAGCCCUGCCCUCCAGCAGAGCCAGGGCCCCCAGAGUCCAGCCCUAGGAGGGAGCCUGGGAUACCAGAACCCUGUGCCCAGGAACAGCCUGAGGUAUCAGAGCCCUGCCCUCCAGUAGAGCCCGGAUGCCUGAAGGCAGACUCCCACAGGCAGGCUGGACUCCUCGAGCCCUCCCGUAGGAUAGAGCCGGGGGCAUCAGAGGCCGGCUCCCUGGAACCUAAAAGUGUAGAGUCCAGCCCGCAGCCCUGCCGCAGUCCGUGGGCUCCAGCGACCACCACCCUGAUCUUCUCCUCCCAACGCCCGCUUUGUGCCAACCCCCCUAUUCACUCACUACAGUCUCAGAGGCCCCCAACCGGCCAGGCAGGUCCCAGCAAUCUUGCCCCUCGAACCCUGGCCCUGAGGCAGCGCCUCAAAGCAUGUCUGACUGCCAUCCACUCCUUCCACGAGGCCUGUCUGGAUGAUGAGUGUGCCUUCUACACCAGCCGAGCCCCACCCUUGGGCCCCACCCGGGUCUGCACCAACCCAGUGGCCACGUUACUUGAAUGGCAGGAUGCCCUGAUGGGCUCCUGUUUCUGCUCUCCACCCCCGCGCACACACGGCCACCACCAAAUGCCCGGGCUUCCUUUCUGCUCGCAGCUCCGGCGAUAGGGCACAGGUGUGUUUGCAGCACGCAAGCAAGGGUGCCGGCCACGGGAAGGUUCAAUGAUGCAUUCUCGCCUCUGGGUGCCCUUUUCCCUUCUAGCGCUCACUGGCGCCACGACAUGGGGGUCGCCUUCCGCCCCAACAGGUAAUCCCUUCUUCCCUCUGGCUUCUCCGCUGGUCGCCUUGGGCCGCCAGCCCCUUCCCCAACCCCCCUCUUCCUGUCUCGCAGGGGCUGGUUAUUAACUCAUUAAUUAUUCAUCAUUAUUCUAAUCACUAUUUACCGUCCCUAGGGCCGCAGCGCCCGCGCCGCGGAAUACAGAGUGGGAGCCGCGCGGCCCCCGCCCCCUCGGAAACCGGCACACUCUAGACAGACACUCGCCCCCUCCCCCUGCUCACAGAUGCCCUGCAUAGACCACACACACCUACUCAGUGCCACAUGCAGAUAGACACUAAUCUAUUCUCACACCUUCACACCCCGCACCCACAGACACACUCGAAUCACGCACGCACACUCUUAAUCCCAUACACACAUACAGUUCUCACUCCCAUACAGACACAUACACCCUUUCCGUGGGCUCCUGGGGCGGCCCUGCUAGGAGGAGACCCCCGGUGCAUUGCCUUCUAGUCCUGGAGGUGCCGCAGCCUUAGCAGGACCGGGUUCGGACCUCCAGGACCCCAUGGUGCGGGGCAUCCAGAGGUCACUGCUUAGCCCCAAUCUUACACCCUGCAGCUUGUGGGGCCUCAGUGCCUGCCCCAACCCCCACCCCUGCGGCCUCUCGUUUCCUCUCUGCAUGCCCCGGUUCUCCAGCUGAGUCCUUGGAGCUGUUCUCCCAAGCCAAGGUGGCAAUGACUCCAACUCUGACCACAGAGGCAGGGAGCAGCAGAACCUGGAGGCCAGAGGUUGCCAGGGAAGAUGUGGGGCCUACAGAACCAGGUCGGGGUCCAAAGCUUCUGCUUUAUCUGUCCUUUGCCUCUUUUCCCCUCCAAAUCCCUUUCAUCAUGCUGCCUGGCUGGACCGUGAACUGCCACACGAUCUCCACCUCUGCCUACCGACUCCGUAUUAGCUAAGGGUAAGGCUAGCUUUAGAAUUGGUCCCAGGCCCUGGGCAAGUGUUGUCGUUUUUACCUUUUACUCGAAAAUCCAAGCUGAAUGCCCCCAUAGGAGAACAGCUGCUGACUGCCCAUUGCCAGAGACCCGGAUUCCAUUCUAAUUCGAAGGAGCCAGAUUCCAGGUCGGCCCACAUGCUGGUGCCGUCGCCGCCGCGCAUGAGCACAUGGUAAGCGAAGAAGUAGACACCUGGCAUGGGGCAGGUGAACUUGCCGCUGGCCGCCUCGUAAGCGUUCCCCACGUUGGUCACCACGUCGUCGAAGCGCAGCAC